rnacentral:rRNA from 1 species
GACGAACGCUGGCGGCGUGCCUAAUACAUGCAAGUAGGACGCAGUUGCGAACGGGUGAGUAACGCGUCGGUAACUGCCUAUUAGAGGGGGAUAACUAUUGGAAACGAUAGCUAAUACCGCAUACUAGUAAAUGGACCUGCGUUGUAUUAGCUAGUAGGUCGGGUAAUGGCCUACCUAGGAAAAGUUACAUAGCCGACCUGAGAGGGGGAUCGGCCACACGUGGACUGAGACACGGCCCAGACUCCGUCGGGAGGCAGCAGUAGGGAAUCUUCGGCAAUGGGGGGAACCCUGACCGAGCAACGCCGCGUGAGUGAAGAAGGUUUUCGGAUCGUAAAGCUCUGUUGUUAAGGAAGCGGUACUUAACCAGAAAGGGACGGCUAACUACGUGCCAGCAGCCGCGGUAAUUC